GCCAUGCGCAGCCUGGCCAUCGGCCUCAGGUACCCACACGCCUCAGAACUGCCAACUCUGAUCCGGGUGAGCAUCGAGAGUGGGCGCAUGACCCACCACCACCCCACUGGGUACCUUGGAGCACUGGCUGUGGCCCUCUUUGGGGCACUGGGGGCUCGGGGUGAGCCCCCAGAGCGCUGGGGGGCUGAGCUGCUGCGGGUCCUGCCCCUGGCAUGGGACUACGUGCAGGGCACCGGGCUGGCCGUGGAGGACAAUGCUGCUGCCUGGCCGUUCUUUGGGGACGUGUGGCACCGGUAAGGGGGCACUGUGAGGACACUGGGAGCACAAGGAGGGGCUGGGGAGGAUACUGAAAAGGUGACUCAGUCCAUUAGUGCCACUGGUGCCAGCCAGACUCUCUGACAGUCCUGGCAGGGCAUUCCUGCAGUGUCACUGCUGACCCUGAUGCCCAGUCUGUCCCUGCUGCACCCAGUGUACCUCAUGUCACUCCCAGAGGUGCCAUCCUUGGGUACAGUGACCUCUGUGUCCCUGGGGUUCCUGGGGCAUUUAGUGUUCUUGGUGGUGCUGGUAUCCAGUGCCUUGCUACCCCACGGGUUUCCUGAUUGUCCCGUGUCCCUGCAGCUAUCUGGGGUCACAGGGGUGUGACAGUGUUUGCAGGGGUCUUAGAAUGAGGGAAGAGAUAAGAAUGUUGACUCUAUGUC